AACUUAUUUGUGUAGGCCCUGUAGCGCCUAUUUGGAUUGCCACAAACAGGCUGCACAUGCUUCCACACAUGACAGAUGUCUAAAUUAUAAAUUUUCAAAGUUGGUCGUUGAUUAAGGAAGAAAAUAAGGACUGCCUUGGUGGUUACUCUAUUAUUGCCUUUCGUAUAAGAUCACAAGUGCUAAAUCACACACACUUGUUGGUGUGACGACCGACCCCGAAAUCUCCCGAGUUAAUCUUAAUCUGAGCCCUGAUCACCUGUCUUAGUUUUCCAAGCCUAAGUGUUCAACCUCCCGACCGGUCCCGACCCCUGAGACCCGACCCCUCUCCGCUGGCCUCCAGUUCCGACCCCGCCGACCCCAACUCACCCGCCGGAUUCUUCUAAGUCUUCCCCAACACCUCCCUUCAAUCUGACCGGUGGACCCACGAGAUCUUUUCCCCCCAGAUCCCCCGCGACAGGCGCACUCGAGUUGCAUGCUCGCUUCAGAGUUCCCCCGCCGCGUGGCUCAACUCCUCCGACGUCCGCCACUCCGCCUCGUCUUUGGCCCGUGACCGAAUGGAUUCUCGCGCCCUCCUCCCCAAUCGCAGCGGAAGCCCCUCUACAACCUUUCUGCAGCACCUCGCCGCCCGCGCCCAUCAUCACAUCACCAGAUCCCGGCCGCAGAGCCCGAUGCCGCCCGUCUUUUCCGUCACCUCGCCACAGUCGCGCCGCCCCGGUCUUCGCUACACGACGAUUCCUCCUCCGCCAACCCCGACCACGGCAGCGACAACUCCUUUUCCCGCCCUGUCAGAAGCCGCCCGACAAUCUGUUGCUCCGCGCUCGCCCGUGCGCCCGUAGCCGCCUAUCUUCUCACCUGUGCGCCCUCGAUCCUAGCGCCGUUUUCCCGGUCACUUCCAUCAGCUCCACCGCACGACGACGCCCGCCUCCGCCAAAUCUCAACCACCGGCAAACCCGCGCCUGCGCCGCCCUGACGCCAGUACCCAAUGACCGCCGGCGUCAUCCCCGAAGUCCUGCUUCACCGCCCUCGUCGCUCAAUCGCCGCCCGGACAGAGCACUCCAUCGUUUCUUCCCCGACCUUCGCGCCGCUCCCCUUCUCACUUCCGCGCCGCUAUAAAAGGGAAUGCCGGAGCCCAGCUGGAGUCCCCUUCGCCAUCGCUGCCCUCCCGCCGUUCCUCUGUUCGAGCUCCCAGCGCCACCACACUAAGUCCCUGAGGAACUCUCCUCUCCGCUCCACGCCGCUUUCCCCAAUCCACCCAGCCGCUUGCUCCUCCGUGCUGCGUAAGAGCUUACUUGUGAUCCAAAAGAAGCACCGCCACCGCCGGAGCACCGUCGGACAUCUCCGCCGCAAGCCUUAGUGUUCCAGUUCCUCCGCCCGAACCUGCUCUUCCCGACCCCAAGCUUUCCUUGUAAGACGAAGGUAAGCUGCUGACCCCUUUUUCCGCCUCGUCCGACCCUUCCGUCCGCCCGACCCCUUUUCCGUCUCGCCCGACCCUGUCUGUUCUGCCGACCCUUGUCCGCUUUGCCCGACCCCUCUUAUCCGCCCGACCCCGGUUCCGUCUCGUCCAACCCUGUCUGUUCCGCCGACCCGUCUCCGCCUCGCCCGAGGACUCGGCUGUAUCCUUUUUCUUCGAACCGAGGGUGUAUGUGUAACACUUGGGGACCUUUCAGCGUUGAGUCUGAGGACCCCUAGCACAGCUAUUCCUCUAGUCUAAGGAUCCGAUCCUAAGUCCCUUUCCUCCGACCCUUACCUCUUGAUCUCCACCAACUCCUUUGAGCCUUCCCACCCUCCUGUUACUUGUCGCAAGUUUCUGGGCUCAUACUUGCAAGUGUUGCUGUUGAAAUAACCGUCUAUGCUAAUUCUUGCAUUGCAUUCGUGUAGAGCUACGUCUCGCCGACGGCUACUACGAGCUGCACCCAGCGCCAGAAGACGACGAUGUUUAGUAGCUCAGCCUUGUUGUGGCUCCUGUUUUUCAGGUGAAGUUGCUGCUCCCGAGCCUUCUUCCGCUGGCACUUGGCCGCCCCAGCUCCCUCCGGGUUGGACGGUCGAGUGGGAUCCCUUCUCGGACGGCGAGGAAAGGGAUCACUGACGUCUUGGCUGGCCUCACCAAGGAUGUCCGACCCCUGCGUUUAGCUUCCGCUUGCUGUUUUACCUUCUAUUGUUUUCUUUUGAAACCUUGUAAAACUCUGAUGAUUUGUUUUUCUGGCCGAACUAAAUGGUUAAGUUGUUCAACUUGGUGGACUUGUUGUAUUCUCUGGAACCACUCACCUUCGUGUGAGUUUGCUAACUCGAUCCUGUUCAAGUGGUUAAUCGGAUGAAAUCCGACGGCACUUCGUGUUAACUUGGCUUAGGCAUGGGUGUCGCAUGUUAGGCGGCUUAACUCUGUUUAAUCAAGCUAAUCCGAAGUGGAUCCGCCACAGCUGGUACCAGAGCAGGUUAGCAAUACAGAGAACACAACAAGCCCUAGCACACUUCUUUGAAAAGAUAAAAGUUGCAAGAAACUUUUUGAAAACUGUCUCGUACGAUCGUUAAGGAUGACUUUAGUGCGAGAGGCCCUAGGGGAUUUUGGGGUUGUUUUAGGUGGCUAAUAUUUUAUUUGGUUAUCUUGCUAACCCUUCCAGCACUUCGCCAUGUUUAUCAUACGUGUGCCGAGUUCUGCAUCACGAGUAUGCGAGGGUUGAUAGGGAGUCUAUUCAAAGGACCCUAUCAUCACGGUUGUUUCGCCCACGUCUAUCAUACGUGCGCAGGUUCCGUAUGUAAUCCAUACGAAGGUUGGUACGGUUCGAUUCCAACGAGCCUAUCAGCACGGUUGUUCGCCACGUCUAUUAUACGUGCGUUGUUUCCGCAUCGCGAGUAUGUGAAGGGUUAUACGGUUCCAUUCCAAGGGAACCUAUUUCCACGGUUGAGUGCUGUCCAUGCAGCCUUGAACGCAUGGGUGCCGUUCCUAUAGUGAGCGGUAAUGUUUGGGAACGCUUUCGUGGGUGCUGGCACGAAAGGUUCGUCGGGGUGUGUUUUCUGCAAGUACACUAACCGUGUUCGCUUAGGAGACGUUGCUAGAACCGACUAGCUAUUAUAGGGAGAGACGUACUGGUUGCCUUGCCACCGGCACUAACCGCGUAAGACCAAGUUUUGGUAGUUGUUUUGGUUAAGAACGAGGUAGGCCGUGCAUGCGACAUAAGCUAAAAUCUGUUAAGUCACCCUCCUUAAAAGCAACCUUGCUCGGAGAAGCUCUUCUUCGGUUCUAAGGAUUUCUAGUUUCUUCCAGUUUGUUCUCGGUUAAAACCUAAUGCUUUCUCUGUCCGACCCCUGACCUUUGGAGUCUAUCUCACGUGGUUUUGGUUUCUUGGUUCCAGAUGGCUGCCCCCGGACAUGUCCUAUAUGGAGCGGAUGGCACCUUCCAUUCAACGUGUCUACACUUCGAGGGCUUUCCUGCGAUCUUGUGGGAUACUUUGAAAUGGUUCGGGUACCAGUCCCCACCGUUGUAUGCGGGACGACUGUACCUGGAGCAAGGCGUCUAGACGUGCAACGUACAGGCGGUAGUACCUCCUCCUCCUGUGCGGCCCGACUGGCCCUCGUUCGGGAUAUCAGCAUACGGUCUUGCCCCGGAAGACACCUGGGAGUCCGCCGCCCUUCAGCUCCUUACUCGUUUCUGUCAGCUGCACCCACUGGAGGUCACCCUAGACCCCAUCGGCCUGUUCCCUGCCAGGAACCAGUUGGACCCGGCGUGGCUCGACCGCGUCGGCAAUAUCGAGGUGCUGGCCACCACCUACUCUAUGGUCACCAUCACCACCAACAUCCGGUGUAUGUCAGCCCUCUAUCGGAUGAUUGAGCUCCAAGGAAGAGCCAUGACCAUUCUUGCUCGGACUGCCGUGGAUGCCCAAGGACACCUCCAGGCCGCCAGAAGAGACCUGGUAGGCCAAACCUAUCAGCUUAUCCAACGAGGUGUUCAGAUCCAUGAUAUGCAAGACAACCGAGUCAUUGCCUAUGCCUCACGGACGUUGCGACCUCAUGAGCUGAACUACCCGACCCAUGAUCUUGAGUUGGCAGCAGUGAUUCAUGCCUUAAAGAUAUGGAGACACUACCUGAUGGGCACCCACUACAACAUCUACACCGACCACAAGAGUCUCAAGUACAUCUUCACUCAAGCCGACCUCAACAUGCGCCAAAGGAGAUGGUUAGAGUUGAUAAAAGACUAUGAUUUGGAAGUUCACUAUCAUCCUGGCAAGGCCAAUGUGGUGGCCGAUGAUCUUAGUCGCAAGACCUUUUGUAACUGCUUGUCGGCAACAACCUUCACCGAGACUUUGUGUCACGAGAUGGGAAAACUUAAUCUGAAAUUGUUCCCCAUGGAACCCUCGGCCACAUAGCUCUACUUUAGAAGACCAAAUAAGGUCAGGACAAGUGGAGGAUGAGGAAGUAAAGCGGAUCACCAAGAAGAUCUCCUUGAAAGAUGAAGGAUAAAAGCAGUUUCGGCAGGACGAAACUGGAAACGUAUAUUAUGGAAACCGACUGGUUGUACCAUCAAACCCCAACCUUAAGAAGCAGAUCCUAGAUGAAGCUCAUCUCUCCAAGUUCUCAAUCCAUCCUGGCAGCAAUAAGAUGUACCAUGAUCUCUGUCAAACCUUCUGGUGGAGUGGAAUGAAGCCUGAAAUUGCCCGGUAUGUUUCAGAAUGUGACACUUGUCAACGUGUCAAAGCCAGCCAUCUAAAGGUAGCAGGUACCCUGCAGCCCCUGCCUAUUCCCUCUUGGAAAUGGGAAGACAUCAGCAUGGACUUCAUAGUUGGACUGCCACUUACAUCACAGCGACAUGACUCCAUCUGGGUUAUAGUGGAUCGCCUGACCAAGUCUGCCCACUUCCUUCCUGUCCGCACCACCCACACAGUCAAGCAGUAUGCAGAGUUGUACCUCGACCGCAUAGUUUUCCUACACGGUGUACCUAAGACCAUCAUCUCUGAUCGAGGAAUUCAGUUUGUGGCACGCUUUUGGGAGCAGCUACAAGCAUCCAUGGGCACCAAGCUCAUCCGUAGCUCAACCUAUCAUCCUCAAACCGAUGGUCAAACAGAAAGAGUCAAUCAAAUCCUUGAAGACAUGUUAAGAGCUUGUGUCAUCCACUAUGACAAGAAUUGGGACAAGUGCCUGCCAUUGGCGGAGUUCUCCUACAACAAUAGCUACCAGGCCAGUUUGAAGAUGGCACCGUUUGAAGCCUUAUAUGGCCGGAGAUGUCGGACACCUUUGAAUUGGUCACAACCUGGAGAAAGAUAGAUCUAUGGCCCUAACUUAGUGGUAGAAGCCGAAGAGCAAGUAAGGGUAAUUCAAGCAAAUCUCAAUGCUGCCCAAUCUCAACAAAAGAGUUAUUCCGACAGGCGAAGAAGGCCCCUACAGUUUGACAUUGGUGAUCAUGUGUAUCUUCGAGUCUCCCCGACCAAGGGAGUGCAACGGUUUGGAGUGAAAGGAAAGUUGGCUCCCCGCUACAUUGGCCCUUAUGAGAUUGUGGAGAUCUGUGGACCCGUUGCUUACCGGAGCCAACUCCCAGAACAGCUAUCGGCCAUACACGAUGUCUUCCAUGUGUCUCAACUGAAGAAAUGUGUCCAAGUCCCAACCGAGAUCUUAGAGCAAGAGCAGCUUCAGUUAGAGCCCGACCUAACCUACGCCGAGUACCCAGACAGAGUUCUUGACCAGAAAGAGAGGCAUACCCGGCGCCAAAUGGUCAGAAUGUACAAGAUCCUCUGGAGGAACCACACGGAGGAUGAAACAACAUGGGAAACAGACGAGUAUUUCAACAAGCACUUCCCAGGUUUUCUGUCUCGUCAAGGAGGUAAGAACGGUACACCUUACUCUUACACCUGAAUCUCGGGACGAGAUUCUUUUUAAGAGGGGUAGGCUAUGACGACCGACCCCGAAAUCUCCCGAGUUAAUCUUAAUCUGAGCCCUGAUCACCUGUCUUAGUUUUCCAAGCCUAAGUGUUCAACCUCCCGACCGGUCCCAACCCCUGAGACCCGACCCCUCUCCGCUGGCCUCCAGUUCCGACCCCGCCGACCCCAACUCACCCGUCGGAUUCUUCUAAGUCUUCCCCAACACCUCCCUUCAAUCUGAC
rnacentral:lncRNA from 1 species